AUUUUACGAAUUUGGUUGAUUUUGAGAGGCCUCGCCCCCCCAACUACGUCACAAGUUGGCGCGUAUGGAUCCACCUCAAUGCUACAAUGAGAUCGAGAACCGUGGCGACCGGGACCACUGGUUGGUGGCGGUGCGUGAUGAGCUGCAAUCAAUGGAGAUGUCAAUUUCUUGAUUUUGCUUUGGCUGACCAAGCCAUGUGGGAAAUUACACUGUUGAAAAUGCUUUGACAUCCAUGUGCACAACAGAACAUGUGCUCGAUGAACAAAUUGAGAUUUGAAAUUAUGAAAAGAAAUCCACGUACUCCGGUGAGACUCGAACUCACGACUCCCAAUUCGCUAGACGGGCGCUUCUAUUCCUUCAAGCUACGGAGUCACUCGACUAUCUCCGUCGCCAGCAGGCCUAGAACUGAACUCGAUUCCACAAUCGCACAUGGUUAUCUUCUUUUCACAAUCCAAACCCCCUUCGGAUGGGAUUAGAUGAACAUCUAACACAUUGUCUGUUGUGCACAUGUAUGUCAAAGCGGGAGAGGAAGUUAUUUUUAAUUGUCGAGAGCUUCGGGCACUGCCUUCCAAUCACUUAUUGGUAUGGCAAUUAGUGUGCAGUCGGACUCUCGACGGGUCGGUCCUCGGCCGACCGAAUACGGUAAGGGUGACCGUAGCACCUUACAAAUGUCAAUUUCUUGAUUUUGCUUUGGCUGACCAAGCCAUGUGGGAAAUUACACUGUUGAAAAUGCUUUGACAUCCAUGUGCACAACAGAACAUGUGCUCGAUGAACAAAUUGAGAUUUGAAAUUAUGAAAAGAAAUCCACGUACUCCGGUGAGACUCGAACUCACGACUCCCAAUUCGCUAGACGGGCGCUUCUAUUCCUUCAAGCUACGGAGUCACUCGACUAUCUCCGUCGCCAGCAGGCCUAGAACUGAACUCGAUUCCACAAUCGCACAUGGUUAUCUUCUUUUCACAAUCCAAACCCCCUUCGGAUGGGAUUAGAUGAACAUCUAACACAUUGUCUGUUGUGCACAUGUAUGUCAAAGCGGGAGAGGAAGUUAUUUUUAAUUGUCGAGAGCUUCGGGCACUGCCUUCCAAUCACUUAUUGGUAUGGCAAUUAGUGUGCAGUCGGACUCUCGACGGGUCGGUCCUCGGCCGACCGAAUACGGUAAGGGUGACCGUAGCACCUUACAAAUGUCAAUUUCUUGAUUUUGCUUUGGCUGACCAAGCCAUGUGGGAAAUUACACUGUUGAAAAUGCUUUGACAUCCAUGUGCACAACAGAACAUGUGCUCGAUGAACAAAUUGAGAUUUGAAAUUAUGAAAAGAAAUCCACGUACUCCGGUGAGACUCGAACUCACGACUCCCAAUUCGCUAGACGGGCGCUUCUAUUCCUUCAAGCUACGGAGUCACUCGACUAUCUCCGUCGCCAGCAGGCCUAGAACUGAACUCGAUUCCACAAUCGCACAUGGUUAUCUUCUUUUCACAAUCCAAACCCCCUUCGGAUGGGAUUAGAUGAACAUCUAACACAUUGUCUGUUGUGCACAUGUAUGUCAAAGCGGGAGAGGAAGUUAUUUUUAAUUGUCGAGAGCUUCGGGCACUGCCUUCCAAUCACUUAUUGGUAUGGCAAUUAGUGUGCAGUCGGACUCUCGACGGGUCGGUCCUCGGCCGACCGAAUACGGUAAGGGUGACCGUAGCACCUUACAAAUGUCAAUUUCUUGAUUUUGCUUUGGCUGACCAAGCCAUGUGGGAAAUUACACUGUUGAAAAUGCUUUGACAUCCAUGUGCACAACAGAACAUGUGCUCGAUGAACAAAUUGAGAUUUGAAAUUAUGAAAAGAAAUCCACGUACUCCGGUGAGACUCGAACUCACGACUCCCAAUUCGCUAGACGGGCGCUUCUAUUCCUUCAAGCUACGGAGUCACUCGACUAUCUCCGUCGCCAGCAGGCCUAGAACUGAACUCGAUUCCACAAUCGCACAUGGUUAUCUUCUUUUCACAAUCCAAACCCCCUUCGGAUGGGAUUAGAUGAACAUCUAACACAUUGUCUGUUGUGCACAUGUAUGUCAAAGCGGGAGAGGAAGUUAUUUUUAAUUGUCGAGAGCUUCGGGCACUGCCUUCCAAUCACUUAUUGGUAUGGCAAUUAGUGUGCAGUCGGACUCUCGACGGGUCGGUCCUCGGCCGACCGAAUACGGUAAGGGUGACCGUAGCACCUUACAAAUGUCAAUUUCUUGAUUUUGCUUUGGCUGACCAAGCCAUGUGGGAAAUUACACUGUUGAAAAUGCUUUGACAUCCAUGUGCACAACAGAACAUGUGCUCGAUGAACAAAUUGAGAUUUGAAAUUAUGAAAAGAAAUCCACGUACUCCGGUGAGACUCGAACUCACGACUCCCAAUUCGCUAGACGGGCGCUUCUAUUCCUUCAAGCUACGGAGUCACUCGACUAUCUCCGUCGCCAGCAGGCCUAGAACUGAACUCGAUUCCACAAUCGCACAUGGUUAUCUUCUUUUCACAAUCCAAACCCCCUUCGGAUGGGAUUAGAUGAACAUCUAACACAUUGUCUGUUGUGCACAUGUAUGUCAAAGCGGGAGAGGAAGUUAUUUUUAAUUGUCGAGAGCUUCGGGCACUGCCUUCCAAUCACUUAUUGGUAUGGCAAUUAGUGUGCAGUCGGACUCUCGACGGGUCGGUCCUCGGCCGACCGAAUACGGUAAGGGUGACCGUAGCACCUUACAAAUGUCAAUUUCUUGAUUUUGCUUUGGCUGACCAAGCCAUGUGGGAAAUUACACUGUUGAAAAUGCUUUGACAUCCAUGUGCACAACAGAACAUGUGCUCGAUGAACAAAUUGAGAUUUGAAAUUAUGAAAAGAAAUCCACGUACUCCGGUGAGACUCGAACUCACGACUCCCAAUUCGCUAGACGGGCGCUUCUAUUCCUUCAAGCUACGGAGUCACUCGACUAUCUCCGUCGCCAGCAGGCCUAGAACUGAACUCGAUUCCACAAUCGCACAUGGUUAUCUUCUUUUCACAAUCCAAACCCCCUUCGGAUGGGAUUAGAUGAACAUCUAACACAUUGUCUGUUGUGCACAUGUAUGUCAAAGCGGGAGAGGAAGUUAUUUUUAAUUGUCGAGAGCUUCGGGCACUGCCUUCCAAUCACUUAUUGGUAUGGCAAUUAGUGUGCAGUCGGACUCUCGACGGGUCGGUCCUCGGCCGACCGAAUACGGUAAGGGUGACCGUAGCACCUUACAAAUGUCAAUUUCUUGAUUUUGCUUUGGCUGACCAAGCCAUGUGGGAAAUUACACUGUUGAAAAUGCUUUGACAUCCAUGUGCACAACAGAACAUGUGCUCGAUGAACAAAUUGAGAUUUGAAAUUAUGAAAAGAAAUCCACGUACUCCGGUGAGACUCGAACUCACGACUCCCAAUUCGCUAGACGGGCGCUUCUAUUCCUUCAAGCUACGGAGUCACUCGACUAUCUCCGUCGCCAGCAGGCCUAGAACUGAACUCGAUUCCACAAUCGCACAUGGUUAUCUUCUUUUCACGAUCCAAACCCCCUUCGGAUGGGAUUAGAUGAACAUCUAACACAUUGUCUGUUGUGCACAUGUAUGUCAAAGCGGGAGAGGAAGUUAUUUUUAAUUGUCGAGAGCUUCGGGCACUGCCUUCCAAUCACUUAUUGGUAUGGCAAUUAGUGUGCAGUCGGACUCUCGACGGGUCGGUCCUCGGCCGACCGAAUACGGUAAGGGUGACCGUAGCACCUUACAAAUGUCAAUUUCUUGAUUUUGCUUUGGCUGACCAAGCCAUGUGGGAAAUUACACUGUUGAAAAUGCUUUGACAUCCAUGUGCACAACAGAACAUGUGCUCGAUGAACAAAUUGAGAUUUGAAAUUAUGAAAAGAAAUCCACGUACUCCGUGCCCGAAGCUCUCGACAAUUAAAAAUAACUUCCUCUCCCGCUUUGACAUACAUGUGCACAACAGACAAUGUGUUAGAUGUUCAUCUAAUCCCAUCCGAAGGGGGUUUGGAUUGUGAAAAGAAGAUAACCAUGUGCGAUUGUGGAAUCGAGUUCAGUUCUAGGCCUGCUGGCGACGGAGAUAGUCGAGUGACUCCGUAGCUUGAAGGAAUAGAAGCGCCCGUCUAGCGAAUUGGGAGUCGUGAGUUCGAGUCUCACCGGAGUACGUGGAUUUCUUUUCAUAAUUUCAAAUCUCAAUUUGUUCAUCGAGCACAUGUUCUGUUGUGCACAUGGAUGUCAAAGCAUUUUCAAUCAAUGGAGAGCAAGCAGUAUAACGGCUAGUGAGACGUCGUGCAGGAGUGAAACCAUUACAAUCAAAGUGGGUAUUCUGCCGUAAAGAAGAUGCUGACGGAAACCAUGUAGUCACAAGGCUAUAUUAGUCGUAGAAGGAUUCCUUCAGAAGCCCAGGCUCGAUUAUCAUGAAACCUUUGCCCCGGUAGUCAAGCUGACGACGAUUCGAGUGGCUAUAGCUGUUGCGAGAGGAUUGAUCGUACAUCAGAUGGAUGUGAAGACGGCUUUUCUGCACGGCGAUCUUCAAGAGGAAAUUUAUAUGGCAGUACCUGACGGUGUCAAGGCGCAUCCUGGAACAAUGUACAGUACAAGCUAUAGAAGUCGCUACGCUAUACGGUUUGAAGCAGGCUCCCAAGUGCUGGAACGAGAAGCUGAACCAAAUAGCUCGGUUUCAAAAGAUCACAGUGUGACUAUUAAUUGUAUACCCGCGUCGACAAGAGUUAUAUACGUCGACGAUUACUGAUCAUGGGAGCACGAAUCGUGACGAUUAAAGCUGUGAAGUAAAAGUUGUCUCAGUUUUCUUUAAGAUACUAUAGAAAAUCGUCCAUGACCAGGAGUCGGGCUAGAUAAACUUUUCACAAGAAGCAUAGACAAGGUUCUGAAGAAGUUUGGAAUGCAAGACUGCAACCCAACAAGAACGCCGAUGCGGAAAGGGCUUCAAUUCGUACGCAGUGAAGGAGAAACCAUAGAAGAACCGUACCGGGAAGUUUUAGUUCAAUGUAUGUCCACCCGGCCGGACAUUUGUUUCCCUCUUGGAUAUUUGGGUCGGUACCAGCAGCAUCCUGAGCAAACUCACUGGACGGCCAUUGGCGUAACUAGGAUUUUUUCCUGGAGGGGGCCCAGGGGGGGCCUGACUUGAGAUGAAUUUUAAGCGGGAUGGGCGCCCGAUAAGUGAAUAUGCAAAUCAGUAUUGUAGUUUUGAGUAAUCAAAAUGACUGUUUCAGAUUUGUUCAUAGUUUUGUAAACUAUAUGAGUACGAACAAUUCCUCCAAGAUUUUUUUCAUAGCUUAAUUCAGUGAUUCCAUCUUGGCUUCUUCCAGAAAUUCAAUCAAGAAUUCAUCUAGGGAUUCCACUAGACAUUUUUUCGGGAAUUUGUCCUGGGAUAUCCAUAGAGGUUCCUCCAGUAAUUGUUCCAUCCAGUGCUUUUUUCGAAGUUUCCUUCAGGAAUUUCUCCAGAGAUCCUUUAAGGUAUUUCUGCAGGUAUUCAGAGAUUUCUACAGGGAUAUCUCCAUAUAUGCCUUCCAAAAUUUCACUAGAGAUUGCUCCAAUAAUUACGUCUGGAAUGAUUCGAAGUAUUUCUGCAGGAAUGUAUUCCAGAAAUUCUUUUAGAAAAUUUUACUCAGAGAUUUAAAAAAAACACUCCAAGAAUUGCUUGAAAAAUUUGUACAAAAAACCUUUAGGGAUCCUAGUUUUUUUUUUAUGUGUAUUAACGAGAUUUUUAGCCCUAGGCUAGUUCAUCUCGGGGCCCACGCUUUAUUUCCCUUCCGAAGGAAGAAGUCACAUUUUGCGAGUUUGUCGGGAGUGGGAUUCGAUCCCUCGGCGUGAUAGUCAAGUGUUCUAACCAUCCCACCAGGUCCGCUUCACUAGGGAUCCUAGUAUUCCUUCAACAAUUACUGCAGACAUUGAUUUCUUUAUUUUUUUUAUCCAGGAAUAUUCCUACAAAAAAUCUUCCAGGUAUUCGCUAAGAAAGCUCUCCUGAGAUUCCAUAAAGAGUUCCUAAUGGGGCUUGCUUCCGGGAUUCCUCAUCGGGUUUCUUCAGAAAUUACUUCAAGAGUUCCUCCAGGGAUUCACCGGAAAUUUCUUCUGUUAUUCUUACAAAAACGAAUUCCGAGAUUAUUUUAAACAUUUCUAGAAGAACUCUUAUUGGGAUUCCAUCAGAAACUCCCGCAGGAAUUAAUCCAGGAUUUCAGGAUUUUCUCAGGAAUUUCAGCGGUUUCUUCAGUAUUUCCCCUGAGAAUUCUUCAGAAAAUCCUCCUGGAAUUCCCUCAGAAAUCGAACUUUGUAUUUCAUCAGGAAUGAAUCUUGAGAUUCCUCCAGGAACUCCUUCGGACAUUCCUCCCGGUUUUUUUUUUUCAAGAAUUAUUCCAGGUAUUCCUCCUGGCAUGCCUCUAGGAUUUCAUUCAGGCAUUGCUCCAGAGACUUCUGCAAGAGUUCUACCAAGAAUUUCUCCAGGUAUUACCCCAGGUAUUUCCUCAGGAAUUACUCCAGGAAUUUAUUCAAGUUUGGAUCCAGGAAUUCUUCCAUGAAUUCCUCCGAAAAUUCUUCCAGGAAUUUCUUCUCUAAGGUUUCCUCUACACACUCCUCCAGGAUUUAUUUCAUGAAUCCCUCCAGGAAUUCCACCGAUGAUUCCUGCAGUAAUUCCUCCAGAAAAUCCUCCUGGAACUCCACCAGAAAUUCCUUUCUGAAUUCCUCUAAAAAUUUCUCCUUGAAUUCCUUCAGAAAUUUCUCCAUGGAUUCCUUCCAGAAUUCCUCUAGAGAUUCUUCCAGGAAUUCAUUCAGGGAUUCUCAAGAUAUUCAUUUAGGGAUUCCUCCUGCAGAUCUUCCAUGAAUAGUUCCACGGAUUUUCCUCAAGAUUUCCUAUAGAGAUUUGUCCAGGAAUUCCUCCUGAGGUUCUCCCAGAAAUUGUUUCAGGGAUUCCUCCAGUUUUUUUUUUCUAGAAUUCCCCCAGGAAUUCUUCCAAGUAAUUCUCUAGAAAUUCCUCUAAGGAUGCCUCCAGGAAUUCCUCAAGAGGUUACUUAAGUAUUACCCCAAGAAUCCCUUCAGAAAGUCCUCCAGGAUUGAUCCAGGAACUCCCAUAGGAAUUACUACCGCAAUUCCUUCAGGAAUUCCUCCUGGAAUUCCUCCAAAAAUUCCUCUGGGAAUUGCUCUAGAAAUUUCUCUUGGAUUUUCUUCAGAAAUUUCUCUUGGAGUUUCUUCAGAAAUUUCUCUUGGAAUUUCUUUAGAAAUUCCUCCAUUAACUGCUUCCAGAACUUCUCUCGAGAUUCCUCCAGGAAUUCAUUCAAGAAUUCUUCCAGGGAUAGUUCCAAGGAAUUUCCACAAAAAUUCCUUUACAGAUUAAUCCAGGAAUUCUUCCUGGGAUUCCGCAAGGAAUUUAUCCAGAACUUCCUGCAGGAAUUUGUCCAGAACUUUCCAGGCAUUCCUCCUGAGGUUUCUCCAGAAAUUGCUUCAGGGAUUCCUCCAGGGAUUUUUCAAAGAAUUUUCCCAGGGAUUCUUCCAAGAAUUUCUCUAGAAAUUUCUCUAA